GGUUAAUAUAAAUCUUUUUCUGAAAUUCGUGUCCAUAAUAUCGAUAUGGAUAUUUUUAUAUAUGUGGAAUAGUUUCUAAGUAACUGUUAUGGUCUUACGAACUCUGUUCUUCACAUGUAUAAAUUGAUUGUUAAAUACGAAUUAAUAUUUCUACUCAACUAAAUGUAAAAUCGGUCGUCGCAUUAAGUGUACGCACGUAAGGGUCAUUAAUAUGGGUGUGGCAUACCGACUACGUUCCUACGCAACAACGGAAGAUACGGGUUUAUGGACCAAAGAGAAAACGUGUCCUGUUGAAGAUAGCGUAUCACCAAGAAACAACGGCGGCGGCGUCUACCACUACCUAGGCUCUCACCAAGUCGUAAACAAGAUGACCAGGAAAACUACAAAGGGAGUUCUAUUGAAGUUAUGAGUUUAAACCACCAAUGACGCAAGAGACGGAGGAGCACCACCACUUCAACAAUUACCCGUUCAGUCAUUCCUAUAUUGUACUUAUAGCUGAAUAUUAACCCGGGUUUGGUGUCGCAACGACACUACAUAUGACUACA